GGCUUGUGGCUCAGUGGUAGCGUGCUCGCCUAGCACAUGUGAGGCACUGGGUUCGAUCCUCAGCAUCA
rnacentral:tRNA from 1 species